GACGAACGCUGGCGGCGUGCUUAACACAUGCAAGUCGAACGGUAAGGCCCUUCGGGGUACACGAGUGGCGAACGGGUGAGUAACACGUGGGUGAUCUGCCCUGCACUUCGGGAUAAGCCUGGGAAACUGGGUCUAAUACCGGAUAGGACCCUGGGAUGCAUGUCCUGGGGUGGAAAGCUUUUGCGGUGUGGGAUGGGCCCGCGGCCUAUCAGCUUGUUGGUGGGGUGAUGGCCUACCAAGGCGACGACGGGUAGCCGGCCUAAGAGGGUGACCGGCCACACUGGGACUGAGAUACGGCCCAGACUCCUACGGGGGGCAGCAGUGGGGAAUAUUGCACAAUGGCGCAAGCCUGAUGCAGCGACGCCGCGUGAGGGAUGACGGCCUUCGGGUUGUAAACCUCUUUCAGCACCGACGAAGCGCAAGUGACGGUAGGUGCAGAAGAAGGACCGGCCAACUACGUGCCAGCAGCCGCGGUAA
rnacentral:rRNA from 1 species